CCUACGGGAGGCAGCAGUGGGGAAUAUUGGACAAUGGGGGCAACCCUGAUCCAGCAAUACCGCGUGUGUGAAGAAGGCCUGAGGGUUGUAAAGCACUUUCAAUUGUGAAGAAAAGUUAGCGGUUAAUAACCGUUAGCCUUGACGUUAACUUUAGAAGAGGCACCGGCUAACUCCGUGCCAGCAGCCGCGGUAAUACGGAGGGUGCAAGCGUUAAUCGGAAUUACUGGGCGUAAAGCGUGCGUAGGCGGUUUAUUAAGUCAGAUGUGAAAGCCCCGGGCUUAACCUGGGAACUGCAUUUGAAACUGGUAACCUAGAGUAUGGUAGAGGAAAGUGGAAUUUCUGGUGUAGCGGUGAAAUGCGUAGAUAUCAGAAGGAACAUCAAUGGCGAAGGCAGCUUUCUGGACCAAUACUGACGCUGAGGUACGAAAGCGUGGGUAGCAAACAGGAUUAGAUACCCUGGUAGUCCACGCCGUAAACGAUGAUAACUAGCCGUUGGGGGGAUUUACCCUUUAGUGGCGAAGCUAACGCGUUAAGUUAUCCGCCUGGGGAGUACGGCCGCAAGGUUAAAACUCAAAGGAAUUGACGG
rnacentral:rRNA from 1 species